ACAGGUUGCCUAACAUUGGCAACACUUGCUUCCUAAAUGCCACCCUGCAGUGCCUCCUGGUCCUGCCUUCCUUCUCAAAGGAAAUCCUACGCCAGGAACAACUCUGGAACUCCUCCCCCUUCUCCAACCUGCUCAGUGGCGCAAACCAGGCCUCAAAAGCAGACCUCAUGUGGAAGGUCAAGUACUCCUUGUCGGGAUAUGAUUUGAAGUAUCUGGGGGACACGCAACAGGACGCACACGAGUUACUUGUGAAUAUGCUGUGCUGUGCCAGCUGAAGGAGGAGGGAAUGAUACUGAAGACACUCGGGGUGAACUAUACCUGCCCUGUUUCCCAGCUGGAGUUCCAGCUUGUCUCAGUGCGCACAUGUACCAGGGCGAAAAGGUUGAAUGAAUUCACAUGUGCGGGCUGCAAAGGCCUCUACAGCUCAAAAGUGGAGCAGUUCCACACACUGCCUCUUGUGCUGGUUCUGCACCUGAAGAGGUUCGGAGGACCUGGGG